ensembl:lncRNA
GCAGAACAACCCAUUAUGUCCGUGUGAAAUUAUAUCAAUUAUAGAAAUUUAGAGAUUAAAUGUAAAGUUCCAAUCUCCUCAGUCCUCCGAAGAUUCAGUGGCUCCUCGGAUCAGAUAGCUGUCAAUCGCAGCUGUGAAUCACGACGUCACACCACCGUUUUUAGAGCAUUAAAUAACUAACCAAAAACAAACUUAUUUUAAAAACAAACUCUUGAAUUUACAUUAGCGUGAUACAAACUACAGUAAAUGACAGAAACCAGCUACGGAAAAAAUAUAUUUGAAGGGUAAUUUAAUUGUUUAGUUGGUCUCGCGUCCCAUUGAAUAACAUGGGGAGGGCGGGGUUUAUGACCUAUACUGGGACCACUCACCAGGGGGCGAUCGAGACGUUUUGGCUUCACUUUUCAGGGCUUGUGCGGCACGCUUGGCUUGAACGGUUAACAACCACCGGUGUAGGUCAUCUGUUGUAGCACUUGUCAGAAGAUAAAACAAUGGGGUUAUAGAUUUGCCAAACACCAUUUGUUAGACACCAAGCACCUUACCGCUGACACAACACUUAUUUAUUGCCUGGGAAUUUAACAUUCCAGAACUCUAACCCAGAUUGCAAAAAAUAUCUGCACAGGUUAUUUUUGCCGCCGGCCCUAAGCUGUCGGCUAUAGGUGCGUCCUGCUGGCGGGGAUGAAACGUUUGCCGCCGAAUACGUCUCUCCCAUUUCUUGCGAGAUUUCUUGACUGCUUCAUUUUCUCUGGCGGUUGUCUCGGUCUAAUGGACCGCUGUCAUCCGGCGUCAAGACGCUUUUAAAUACAAGGCUACUCUCAAAAUCGACCGGCCAUGUUGGUUUGGACACACAUUCACAUCAGUUUGUCGCUCAAUCGCGAGUUACAGCCUGCAGUUUGCUAGCUAGCAAAGUCAUCGACUACCAUCGUUUAAGUAACUACAUGUUUCCUUUUUGUGUAACGCAAUAUUAUGUUUACAUUGUUUUUAGUUUAUAUAUUUAAAAUGUGUAGUCAUCUUUGUUCUUGCCUAACUAGCUAAAGUAGCCUUGUUUACGCAAUGUUGUUAGUACAUGUAGAAUUUUAACGAGCUAAAAUAGGUAGCAAAAGCUUUACAUCUAGAAAGACUAAGUUUAACUUUUAGUGUUUUCUUACAAAAAUAACGAUGUAUAUAUGUUUAAAUUAUUUUGUUUGCCUGAACAAGUAUGCUGCUAGUCCAGUAGCUAUAGUGGCUAGUAAGUGUUAGCUAGCACAUGCUGUUUUGCCUUUGUUACAGUACCCACUGUGGCUAGCAAGUUUUGUGCUGUGUUGCUACUGUACUGGAUUUAAGGCGAUUAUGAUUCUCUGAACUGCUGUACUUUUUAUGUUUGAGGAAAAUUCUGUGUUCACUUGAAUCACAACACUCGAUAACCGGUUAUUCUCUAGCCAAGGUAUCUUCACCCAAGAGACCAACUGUUGGUCAAUCGUUUAGGUUUUAAAGGUAAAUGCAUUGUUAGUCACAAUGUCUAGUUACUGGGCCAAAAGGAAAAUAAUAUUGAAAAGAGUUGCGAGGGACAAACAGGACAUUCACUUGAAUCACUACAUGCUACAGAAGUUUCAUCGAUUACAGAAAACCAGGAAAAUGUUGAGCCAUCUGUAGACUUCAGAGCUGAACCAGGUUUCUCCCCAGUAAUCCAGACUCCAUUUCACAGAACCAAGAGUUUGAGUACAACUAAGUGAUGUUAUUUGUGACAUUUUUUGUCUUGGAAACUGUUGCUUCUAUUUAAGAUUAGGAAUCCUUUUAUCCAUAAUCUGUUUUUCAUUAGGGCACUUGACUUUCUGGAUAAAAGGUGUCGAGGUGUGUUGUACAUAUCAUUAGCUUUGCACAGUUCAAUUAUUGUUUCAUUACUGAAUAUGCAAUCUCUGCAGUGAAAUUAAAGCUGUUAUGUUUGUUCCCCCGGCUCGUCAAGUACUAAGCUUUACACCACCAGCAGCAAAUUUACCCUGGCAGCAUAUGGGUGAAAACGCUGGAGGUAUGUAAUAUGUUGCGCUAAACUAAGUUUUACAUUUAAGCCCAAUUCAUUAAAUGUAUGCAAUUACUUCAAACAUAUUUUUAUGUCAAUGAUUAUCAAUAGGAGAAAUUAAUCGCUUUGUUAUUGGCCGUUGGACGCCCCUGGCAUCUCGUGUACAGCACAAAGUUUUCAGCUAUGAAGGUAUAUUCUAGGCCUAUGUCUUAUUGUCCAGUGUUUUAACAGUAUUGAAAAUAUUGCCUUUAGUAGUUUUUUUAUGUAGAUUUCCAGUGACUCCAAAAUGAAAACCAAGCUCUGAGGGAGGAGAACCAAGCCCUGAGGGAAUGCAAUGCACAAGCAGCUUCGGAUGACAGCGGCUCACUUCAAGAGCAGGUGAAGCAAGUAGGGACAAUGUUGAAGACGUUUGCUCUCACUGGGCAAUCAGGUGCGUUACCUGAAAGGAGCAUCUGACCGUGAAGGCAGAAAAAGCCGCACAGCUGAGAAGGACCCACUGCCGACCCCUUAAACCUAGGCUGACUACUGACACCCCAGCAUCACUGAACUGGAACACUUUCUUUAUCCAGCAGUCAGUAACAUCAAGAAGCCAGAAGUGCCAGACUACACUCACCAAAUCCACCCUCUUUUUUUUUGUAUUUUAACUUUAGUAUUGGCUUAUUUCAUUCCGUCUUAACGAUUCUAUUAUAGUUUGUAAAUCCUAUUUCAUACCUGUUACUUGAUAUUGCACAUUAACUAGUACCAAAAUUCUACUUUCAUUUCAUCAGUGUGCUUAACUGUUAUUCUAUUAAUAAUAGCUUGGAAAUACUAUUUUGUACCUCUGAUACUUGAUAUUGCACAUUACCUGGUACCAAAUAUUCUACUUACUCUGUUUUUAACAUCAGCAUUUUUCAUUCCAUCACAUUGCUUAACUGUUAUUCUUUUGUUAAAUAUAGCUUGUAAAUCCUUUUGCCACAGGUCAGCAUUGCAGUUAUAAUGGUCUGUUCUACUACUGUUUUUUAUUUUUAUAUAAAUAUAUAUGUCAAGUUUUGUUUAUCACAGAUACAAGAGACACAGAUCUUAUUGCAGCACGGUGUAAAUCUUGUGCUCCAGGUCAGCAAUGCCAUUAUAACGGUCUAUUCUACUCUAGAGCUUUACUCUAAAUUAUUACCACUUUUCCUAUUGUUAGAAAUGGCUUGAAAAUGUGAUGUUAUACCUCGAUUUAUUUGGUAUCCUGCACAUUCUUUGGUACCAAAUAUCCUCAUUACUUAUGUUUACUGGUAAUUAUUUUCAUCCCAGAGCUGACUUCUUUAUAUUAUUAACAAUUAUUGUGUUUGUGUAAUAAUUAGUUUCUUUUUUUACCAACAUUUAAUUGGAAACCUGCAUGUUCUGUAGUGUGUGUUUAUAUGUAUAUUUUUUCCUGC